UCAGGAUGAACGCUAGCGGCAGGCCUAACACAUGCAAGUCGAGGGGUAACAGGGAGUGCUUGCACUCCGCUGACGACCGGCGCACGGGUGCGCACCGCGUAUGGAACCUGCCUCUUGCUGGGGAAUAGCCCAUGGAAACGUGGAUUAAUGCCCCAUAGUAUUUACCUUGCACCUGUAAGGUUGAUUAAAGGCUUCGGUCGGCAAGAGAUGGCCAUGCGUCCCAUUAGCUGGAUGGUAAGGUAACGGCUUACCAUGGCUACGAUGGGUAGGGGCCCUGAGAGGGGGAUCCCCCACACUGGUACUGAGACACGGACCAGACUCCUACGGGAGGCAGCAGUGAGGAAUAUUGGACAAUGGAGGAGACUCUGAUCCAGCCAUGCCGCGUGCAGGAAGACGGCCCUAUGGGUUGUAAACUGCUUUUAUACGGGAAGAAAAAAGGGUACGUGUACCCUACUGACGGUACCGUAAGAAUAAGGACCGGCUAACUCCGUGCCAGCAGCCGCGGUAAUACGGAGGGUCCGAGCGUUAUCCGGAAUUAUUGGGUUUAAAGGGUCCGUAGGCGGGCCAUUAAGUCAGGGGUGAAAGUCUGCGGCUCAACCGUAGAAUUGCCUUUGAUACUGGUGGUCUUGAGUUAUGGUGAAGUGGCUGGAAUAUGUAGUGUAGCGGUGAAAUGCAUAGAUAUUACAUAGAACACCGAUUGCGAAGGCAGGUCACUAACCAUAUACUGACGCUGAUGGACGAAAGCGUGGGGAGCGAACAGGAUUAGAUACCCUGGUAGUCCACGCCGUAAACGAUGGAUACUAGCUGUCCGGGACUUUAAGUUCUGGGCGGCCAAGCGAAAGUGAUA
rnacentral:rRNA from 1 species